UUAAAAAGGAUAACCUGAGCACUAUAGCCAUUGCAACUCGUUAUGGUGGUCAUAAAGCUACACGUAAGUUGGUGUCAUCCUCAAGAUUUAAAUGAAACUGCAUUGGCACAGUAUGACACAAACCAGCCCUCCUCUUGGGCAUUCGUGGAAUUCCAAUCCACAUUACAUAUCAAGUUAAUCAAGGGCUAAUCCAAACAACCUUGAGUGUCACUGAUAGACUGUUUAAUAAACAUUUAUUAAGACCUUACUUUUGUACAAAUAUGUCUGAAAGGGGAAGAUGCACUUAGAGGCAAUGCACCAUAACCACUAAGGUGCGCAAUUGUGGAUUUUGUGCUUAGUGUGUUCCUACUAAAAAUAAUAUAAUUGUGUUUUUAAGUCACAAUUUUCCCAAUUUAUGUUAGGUUGUAUUGGUUGAAAUAUCUCAUCAUUAAAUGGAAUGGCUCUAUUGUGCAAUUAAACCAUGAGACCAUUAAGAAGGAUGACAUUUUGCAAUAGUCUUUUUUAAAAUUCGGGAAUAUUAGCGAACAUAUUGUUCUACAGCAGCUAAAAAAAAACAGAAAACAUUCAGGUAUUUAUUGAACCCAAACAUAGGUUAAUUGGUUCUAAUACAGUCUGUGUAUGUAAAGAUAAUUUUCACUUAACAUGGCAAGCAAUUUUAUUGCUUUUAGUUAGAUGAAUAAAUAAUAUGUUAAAUAAUAAGGAUAGUUAAUAUAUCAGAAAUUAGCAAAAAAAAAGGAUAUCAGGAACAAAGAAGAACUAACUACAAAACUUAUUCUACUUGGCAUGAGAUAUGGGAACACUCUUUCUUUAACAUCUGUUUGUGAUGUGUGGGAUACUGGGCAGCUCUGUUAUGCAAUUACAUAUUAAAUAAGCUGUUACAAGCCUUGCAACAAUUCUGUUCACAGUCUUCUAAGCCUCUGACCACACAUGCAUGCAGCUGCAGUAUUGAGGAGACAGUGACACGUGCACUAUUCCAGAAUACACAUGCAAUUUAAGCAGAGUUUGAAUGGCAAGAGAGAUUGCAAUUAUUCAAGUUAAAUGGAGUAUACUCAAAGUUACAGGCACGUAUGCAAAUUUCUGUAGUGUCAUGCCACUGUGUGUAAGGAGAAAAUGACUUAAUAAGUCUAGAAACAAAGCCUAUGCAAUUAUUUAGUUACACUGAUCAGCCAAAACAUUAAAACCACCUGGCUAAUAUCAUGUAGGUCUCAUGCUUCCAAAACAGCUAUGAUGCAUCAUGGCAUGGACACCACAAAACCUCUGAAUGUGUCCUAUGGUAUCUGGACAUCAAGACAUUUGAAGCAGAUCCUUUAAGUCCUGCAAGUAGUAAGGUGGGGCCUCCAUGGAUUGGAUUUGUUGUUCCAGCACAGCUCACAGAUGUUAAAUUGGAUCUGGGAAAUUUGGAGCCAAGGCAACAUCCAGAACUUUUUGUCAUGUUCCUCAAACCAUUCCGGAAAAAUGUUUGCAGUGCAGCAGCAUGCAUUAUUGCCAUUGCCAUGAAUGGGUUUACACAGUCUGCAAAAAUCUCUAGGUAGGUGGUAUAUGUCAAAGUAACAUCCACAUAAAUUCCAAGACCCAGGGUUUUCCAGCAGAACAUUUCAAAUUCCAAGACCCAGGGUUUUCCAGCAGAGCAUAACACUGAACCGCCAGCCUGUCUUCUUCCUGUAGUGCAUCCUGCUGUCAUCUCUUCCCCAGGUAAGACACACAUGCACUCAGCCAUCCAGCUAUUUUUCCUGCUUUCAACACAUGAAAUUCGAGAACUGACUGUUCACGUGCUCCUAAAAUAUCCUACUUUUUGACAGGUGCCAUUGUAAUUAUAUAAUCAAUGUAAUUCACUUCACCUGUCAGUGGUUUUAAUAUUGUGGCUGAUCAGUGUAUAUUGUUUUUAGUGGGGUUUUUUCAUAGCUCUACACCAGGGGUUCCAAGUCCAGUCUUCAAGUACCCCCUACCAGUCCAGGAUUUAAGGUUUACCCUAUUGUGUCUAAUGUGUUUUUGUUUUUUUCUUCUAAAAACACCUUAGACACAACUGGGUAAUCAC